AAUAAAGAAGUAAAAAAAUUACAUUUAGUUUCGACCUAAAAUUUAGAGUUAUCUCCAUAUUU
rnacentral:tRNA from 1 species